rfam:Camelus ferus unplaced genomic scaffold scaffold1533, whole genome shotgun sequence.
GAGAGUAUAGCUCAGUGGUAGACCAUGUGUUUAGCAUGCACAAGGUCCUGGGUUCAAUCCCCAGUACCUCCA